ACGGGGGGUGCAAGCGUUGUUCGGAAUCAUUGGGCGUAAAGCGCGUGUAGGCGGCUUGACAAGUCAGAUGUGAAAUCCCUGGGCUUAACCCAGGAAGUGCAUUUGAAACUGUCUAGCUUGAGUAAGGGAGAGGAAAGUGGAAUUCCUGGUGUAGAGGUGAAAUGCGUAGAUAUCAGGAGGAACACCGAUUGCGAAGGCGGCUUUCUGGCCCUAUACUGACGCUGAGGCGCGAAAGCGUGGGUAGCAAACAG
rnacentral:rRNA from 1 species